UGUAUAUUGGUGUAUAAUGCAUAAAAAGUUUUGAUCUUUUAGGAAACAGUGUAAAUCUGUUAUAUAUAA
rnacentral:tRNA from 1 species